GACAGAGGGUGCAAACGUUGUUCGGAAUUACUGGGCGUAAAGCGCGUGUAGGCGGCCAUCUAAGUCGGGCGUGAAAUCCCACGGCUCAACCAUGGAAGUGCACUCGAAACUGGAUGGCUAGAGUCCUGGAGAGGAAGGUGGAAUGCUUGGUGUAGAGGUGAAAUUCGUAGAUAUCAAGCGGAACACCGGUGGCGAAGGCGGCCUUCUGGACAGUGACUGACGCUGAGACGCGAAAGCGUGGGGAGCAAACAGG
rnacentral:rRNA from 1 species